CCGUCAAUUCCUUUGAGUUUUAACCUUGCGGCCGUACUCCCCAGGCGGUCGAUUUAACGCGUUAGCUCCGGAAGCCACGCCUCAAGGGCACAACCUCCAAAUCGACAUCGUUUACAGCGUGGACUACCAGGGUAUCUAAUCCUGUUUGCUCCCCACGCUUUCGCACCUGAGCGUCAGUCUUUGUCCAGGGGGCCGCCUUCGCCACCGGUAUUCCUCCAGAUCUCUACGCAUUUCACCGCUACACCUGGAAUUCUACCCCCCUCUACAAGACUCUAGCCUGCCAGUUUCGAAUGCAGUUCCCAGGUUGAGCCCGGGGAUUUCACAUCCGACUUGACAGACCGCCUGCGUGCGCUUUACGCCCAGUAAUUCCGAUUAACGCUUGCACCCUCCGUAUUACCGC
rnacentral:misc_RNA from 1 species